AAAUUUUUUGAUUGAAUAGGUUUUGAUAUGUUUUUAUAUGAUUAAACCUAGUAAAUAUCUAUAAAUUAUAGUCAAAUUGACCAUCCAUGUAUCAAUGAACAAAUGUUCAACUACAUAUGGAUAGUGUAUAAUAUAAAAAUUUAUCUAAACUAUAGCAAUAUGCGUCUUAAAAUGUAAAAAAAAUAUAAUCAUAACUUAUUAUAAAAAAUAAAGAGAUAAUUUUUGUUAACAAAUACAUAAAAUGACACUCUAGGAUGAGAAAAAAAAAA
rnacentral:lncRNA from 1 species